rnacentral:rRNA from 1 species
CGGAGAGGGAGCCUGAGAAACGGCUACCACAUCUAAGGAAGGCAGCAGGCGCGCAAAUUACCCAAUCCUGAUUCAGGGAGGUAGUGACAAGAAAUAACAACUCGGGGCUCUUAGCCUUACGAGAUUGCAAUGAGAACAAUUUAAACAACUUAUCGAGGAACAAUUGGAGGGCAAGUCUGGUGCCAGCAGCCGCGGUAAUUCCAGCUCCAAUAGCGUAUAUUAAAGUUGUUGCAGUUAAAAAGCUCGUAGUUGAACUUCUGGCCAGUCCUCUCAGGACUUCGGUUUUGUUAGGGUUGGUCAUCAGUCAGAGAGCUUUGGUGGACCUUUACUGGUGGGCUGUGCAGGGAGUAGACAUUUUACCUUGAAAAAAUUAGAGUGUUUCAGGCAGGCCUUUGCCCGAAUACAUUAGCAUGGAAUAAUGGAAUAGGACUCGUCCUUUUUGUUGGUUAUUGGUUACGAGUAAUGAUUAAUAGGGACAGUUGGGGGCAUUAGUAUUUAAUUGUCAGAGGUGAAAUUCUUGGAUUUAUUAAAGACUAACUUAUGCGAAAGCAUUUGCCAAGGAUGUUUUCAUUAAUCAAGAACGAAAGUUAGGGGAUCAAAGACGAUCAGAUACCGUCCUAGUCUUAACUAUAAACUAUACCGACUCGGGAUCGGCCGGGCUUACUACCUCGGUCGGCACCGUAUGAGAAAUCAAAGUCUUUAGGUUCUGGGGGGAGUAUGGUCGCAAGGCUGAAACUUAAAGGAAUUGACGGAAGGACACACCAGGUGUGGAGCCCUGCGGCUUAAUUUGACUCAACACGGGGAAACUUACCAGGUCAAAACAUGGGUGGGAUUGACAGAUUGAGAGCUCUGUCUUGAUUGUGGGGGUGGCGGGGCAUGUCCGAUCUUAGGGAGUGGAGUGAUUGGUUAGGUUAAUUACGGUAACGAACGAGACCUUAACAUGUUAUCUAGUCACGCGCAGCACAAUCGCGUUGACAUAUUAGAGGGACUAUCAAGUCAAGCGCAUGGAAGUGCGAGACAAUAUCAGGUAUGUGAUGACAUGAGAUGUCCUGGACCCCACGCGCGCUACACCGAUGCGCUCAACAAAUUCUAUCUUGGAUGAGAAGAGUUUAGUGUAAUUAUUAUAAUUCGUGUCGGGGAGGGGAUCGAUCAAUGCAAUAUUAGAUCCGGAGCGAGGAAAUUAUAGUAAACAUAACUCAUCAGCUUGUGUUGAUUACGUCCCUGCCCUCAGUACACACCUCCCGUCGCUCGUUCCGAAUUGGAGCGAUGCGGUGAACGGUCUGGACUGCUCAUCUAGUCAAGGGUGGGAAGGGAAGUUAAUUAAAUCUUAUCGAGGAGAGGAAGGAGAA